AUUGAACGCUGGCGGCAGGCCUAACACAUGCAAGUCGAGCGGGGUUUUCGGACCUAGCGGCGGACGGGUGAGUAAUGCGUAGGAAGCUACCCGAUAGAGGGGGAUACCAGUUGGAAACGACUGUUAAUACCGCAUAAUGUCUACGGACCAAAGUGUGGGACCUUCGGGCCACAUGCUAUCGGAUGCGCCUACGUGGGAUUAGCUAGUUGGUGGGGUAAUGGCACACCAAGGCGACGAUCCCUAGCUGGUUUGAGAGGAUGAACAACCACACUGGAACUGAGCCACGGGCCAGACUCCUACGGGAGGCAGCAGUUGGGAAUAUUGGACAAUGGGCGCAAGCCUGAUCCAGCCAUGCCGCGUGUGUGAAGAAGGCCUUCGGGUUGUAAAGCACUUUCAGCGAGGAGGAAGGGUGGUGUGUUAAUAGCACAUCAUUUUGACGUUACUCGCAGAAGAAGCACCGGCUAACUCUGUGCCAGCCGCCGCCGUAACAC
rnacentral:rRNA from 1 species